rnacentral:rRNA from 1 species
CCUACGGGUGGCUGCAGUCGAGAAUCAUUCACAAUGGGGGAAACCCUGAUGGUGCGACGCCGCGUGGGGGAAUGAAGGUCUUCGGAUUGUAAACCCCUGUCAUGUGGGAGCAAAUUAAAAAGAUAGUACCACAAGAGGAAGAGACGGCUAACUCUGUGCCAGCAGCCGCGGUAAUACAGAGGUCUCAAGCGUUGUUCGGCAUCACUGGGCGUAAAGCGUGCGUAGGCUGUUUCGUAAGUCGUGUGUGAAAGGCGCGGGCUCAACCCGCGGACGGCACAUGAUACUGCGAGACUAGAGUAAGGGAGGGGGAACCGGAAUUCUCGUUGUAGCAGUGAAAUGCGUAGAUAUCGAGAGGAACACUCGUGGCGAAGGCGGGUUCCUGGACAUUAACUGACGCUGAGGCACGAAGGCCAGGGGAGCGAAAGGGAUUAGAUACCCGUGUAGUC